UGGGGAAUAUUGCGCAAUGGGCGAAAGCCUGACGCAGCGACGCCGCGUGGAGGAUGAAGGUCUUCGGAUUGUAAACUUCUGUUAAGUGGGAAGAAAUACUUACUUCUAAUACAAGUAGGGGAUGACGGUACCAUUAGAGAAAGCACCGGCUAACUUCGUGCCAGCAGCCGCGGUAAUACGAAGGGUGCAAGCGUUAUUCGGAAUCAUUGGGCGUAAAGGGUGUGUAGACGGUAUGUUAAGUCUGUUGUUAAAUGCCCCAGCUCAACUGGGGAUCUGCGGUGGAAACUAACAUGCUAGAGGGUGGAAGAGAGAAGUGGAAUUCUCGGAGUAGCGGUAAAAUGCGUAGAUCUCGAGAGGAACACCAAUGGCGAAGGCAGCUUCUUGGUCCAUACCUGACGUUGAAACACGAAAGCGUGGGGAGCAAACAGGAUUAGAUACCCGCGUAGUCC
rnacentral:rRNA from 1 species